AUGAACGCUGGCGGCGUGCCUAAUACAUGCCAGUCGAGCGAACAGACGAGGAGCUUGCUCCUCUGACGUUAGCGGCGGACGGGUGAGUAACACGUGGAUAACCUACCUAUAAGACUGGGAUAACUUCGGGAAACCGGAGCUAAUACCGGAUAAUAUAUUGAACCGCAUGGUUCAAUAGUGAAAGACGGUUUUGCUGUCACUUAUAGAUGGAUCCGCGCCGCAUUAGCUAGUUGGUAAGAUAACGGCUUACCAAGGCAACGAUGCGUAGCCGACCUGAGAGGGUGAUCGGCCACACUGGAACUGAGACACGGUCCAGACUCCUACGGGAGGCAGCAGUAGGGAAUCUUCCGCAAUGGGCGAAAGCCUGACGGAGCAACGCCGCGUGAGUGAUGAAGGUCUUCGGAUCGUAAAACUCUGUUAUUAGGGAAGAACAAAUGUGUAAGUAACUAUGCACGUCUUGACGGUACCUAAUCAGAAAGCCACGGCUAACUACGUG
rnacentral:rRNA from 1 species